GAUGAAUGCUGGCGGCGUGCCUAACACAAGCAAGUCGAGCGGCAGCGCGAGGAGUUUACUCCUUGGCGGCGAGCGGCGGACGGCUGAGUAACGCGUGGGAACGUGCCCCAAAGUGAGGAAUAACUGCCCGAAAGGGUGGCUAAUACCGCAUAUGAUCUUCGGAUUAAAGUCUUCGGACGCUUUGGGAGCGGCCCGCGUCGGAUUAGGUUGUUGGUGAGGUAAUGGCUCACCAAGCCGACGAUCCGUAGCUGGUCUGAGAGGAUGAUCAGCCAGACUGGGACUGAGACACGGCCCAGACUCCUACGGGAGGCAGCAGUGAGGAAUCUUCCACAAUGGGCGAAAGCCUGAUGGAGCAACGCCGCGUGAAGGAUGAAGGCCCUCGGGUUGUAAACUUCUUUUAUAAGUGAAGAAUAUGACGGUAACUUAUGAAUAAGCACCGGCUAACUACGUGCCAGCAGCCGCAGUAA
rnacentral:rRNA from 1 species